AGAGUUUGAUCCUGGCUCAGGAUGAACGCUAGCUACAGGCUUAACACAUGCAAGUCGAGGGGCAGCAUGGUCUUAGCUUGCUAAGGCCGAUGGCGACCGGCGCACGGGUGAGUAACGCGUAUCCAACCUGCCUUACACUCUUGGACAGCCUUCUGAAAGGGAGAUUAAUACAAGAUGUUAUCAUGAGUAAGCAUUUUCGCAUGAUUAAAGGUUUACCGGUGUAAGAUGGGGAUGCGUUCCAUUAGAUAGUAGGCGGGGUAACGGCCCACCUAGUCUUCGAUGGAUAGGGGUUCUGAGAGGAAGGUCCCCCACAUUGGAACUGAGACACGGUCCAAACUCCUACGGGAGGCAGCAGUGAGGAAUAUUGGUCAAUGGGCGAGAGCCUGAACCAGCCAAGUAGCGUGAAGGAUGACUGCCCUAUGGGUUGUAAACUUCUUUUAUAAAGGAAUAAAGUCGGGUAUGGAUACCCGUUUGCAUGUACUUUAUGAAUAAGGAUCGGCUAACUCCGUGCCAGCAGCCGCGGUAAUACGGAGGAUCCGAGCGUUAUCCGGAUUUAUUGGGUUUAAAGGGAGCGUAGAUGGAUGUUUAAGUCAGUUGUGAAAGUUUGCGGCUCAACCGUAAAAUUGCAGUUGAUACUGGAUAUCUUGAGUGCAGUUGAGGCAGGCGGAAUUCGUGGUGUAGCGGUGAAAUGCUUAGAUAUCACGAAGAACUCCGAUUGCGAAGGCAGCCUGCUAAGCUGCAACUGACAUUGAGGCUCGAAAGUGUGGGUAUCAAACAGGAUUAGAUACCCUGGUAGUCCACACGGUAAACGAUGAAUACUCGCUGUUUGCGAUAUACUGCAAGCGGCCAAGCGAAAGCGUUAAGUAUUCCACCUGGGGAGUACGCCGGCAACGGUGAAACUCAAAGGAAUUGACGGGGGCCCGCACAAGCGGAGGAACAUGUG
rnacentral:rRNA from 1 species